rnacentral:rRNA from 1 species
UAACGCGUGGAUAACCUGCCUCACACUGGGGGAUAACAGUUAGAAAUGACUGCUAAUACCGCAUAAGCGCACAGUACCGCAUGGUACAGUGUGAAGAACUCCGGUGGUGUGAGAUGGAUCCGCGUCUGAUUAGCCAGUUGGCGGGGUAACGGCCCACCAAAGCGACGAUCAGUAGCCGACCUGAGAGGGUGACCGGCCACAUUGGGACUGAGACACGGCCCAA